AGUGAACGCUGGCGGUAGGCCUAACACAUGCAAGUCGAACGGCAGCACAGUAAGAGCUUGCUCUUACGGGUGGCGAGUGGCGGACGGGUGAGGAAUACAUCGGAAUCUACUUUUUCGUGGGGGAUAACGUAGGGAAACUUACGCUAAUACCGCAUACGACCUACGGGUGAAAGCAGGGGAUCUUCGGACCUUGCGCGAUUGAAUGAGCCGAUGUCGGAUUAGCUAGUUGGCGGGGUAAAGGCCCACCAAGGCGACGAUCCGUAGCUGGUCUGAGAGGAUGAUCAGCCACACUGGAACUGGGACACGGUCCAGACUCCUACGGGAGGCAGCAGUGGGGAAUAUUGGACAAUGGGCGCAAGCCUGAUCCAGCCAUACCGCGUGGGUGAAGAAGGCCUUCGGGUUGUAAAGCCCUUUUGUUGGGAAAGAAAAGCAGCAGGUUAAUACCCCGCUGUUCUGACGGUACCCAAAGAAUAAGCACCGGCUAACUCCGUG
rnacentral:rRNA from 1 species